GCCCGGACCGAUCUGGUCCCGCUGGGAGGGGACCCUGACCACCGCGUCCCCAAAACAGCACCCCCUCCUCUUACGUUGCCCCCCACUUGCCUAAGGCCGACUGCACAGGCUUCCUUUUCGGCUCUUCACCUUACACUCAUCCCACCUAAGCCUCCAUCCAGGACCCCUUCGGAAUUGCUCUGUCCUGCAUCAAACACCUGUCCCCGACUCUGCCGCCUGGGGGAAGUCAAGAAACGGGAAGUGUCUCUUCUGGCUCUUUCUUCCCCGGCAUCUUCCCAGGGGAGCUGCCCCUCCAGGCCCACCCUUUUCCCAGUCAGACCCCGGAGUCUGGCUCCGGAGUGGCCCUCCCUUCUCUUUGCGCCCCGGGGAAGUCCGCCCCUCCCCCUCCGGCCGGAGCUGUAAUAGGGGUGAGAAUAUAAAAGGAACUGUAGAAAGGGUUAGGGGAUGGGAUCUUGGAGGUCUACAGUGAGGACUGGGAUGAAAAUCCAGUGCGAGGAUGAAAUGACGCUCCUGAUGUCAGUCUGUUCGAAGGUCCCCUGAUCACCUGCCCUCUGGGCGGUGUAGAGCUUCUGCCGCACGCUUCAGGCAGUGACUUAACACACCUCAUAGAGUCAAAUGGGUCUCUACCCCGUGAAGCGGCUCAGUGUCACGACUUGUGUCACACUCCCCUCACCGUGCCACAAGCUCCCUUGCCACACACUCUGCGAGUCACACACCGUGUCACACGCAGUGUCUCACACUCCAAUACUUGGUUUCUUGCGUUCAGCUCUGGCUCUCUGGCGCCAUCUUGAGGUGCUUGAGCAGCGUGGGCACUCCCUCUCGUUCAGGUUUUGGUACCCAGGCUGCCAAGUGCCCCAAUUCAGUAGGACCUCCUGCCUAGUUCCGCGUUAGAAGCCAAGGCUCCAUGUUCCAGGUCAGACGAAUGAGGAAGGUUAUCUGUAGUAAGGCCAGGUGCUGUGUAUGGAAAGUGUAGUGACUGCUCUCUAGGUCUCUGCCGUAACCGCUGGACGCCCCCCCCCCCCAUUUCUGUCUCUCCCUCAUUUUUCUAUCUACACCUUUCUUCUGUCUGUGUUUCUUCUGCUUUCUCCUCUUCCUAGCCUCUGGGCCUCUUUAUGUGGGACAUUCUUCAAGGUAGGGGUGAGAGCUAUAACUUGCUGAAGGAGUGAUGGAGAACUGCCAGAGAUCUUCCAGAGCACCCCCACCCCUGACUCAUCUACCUUUCUGAUCUGGACCUUCUGCUCACCCUCAGCCCCAGGAACCCACCUGGGGUGCUCAAUGGGAGAUGCAGAAAGGGCCUGUCAUUUAAGUGUCUUCUCUCUGUCCCUUGCAAAGCUCAUACUCUCCCCACCAUUGAACACGGCACCAAAAAGCAAAUCAGUGGGCCGAAGAGAAGAAAUCUUCCACAGAGGAGCUGCCCCAGCCUCCCUGCCCCCAGCAUGUGCCUGCUGCCCACUGCAGCAAACCCUCCCAGGCUGCUUGCUGGGAGCCAUUCAAAGGCUCCUCUGUUCUCCUCCUUUGCUCGGGGCUGAGCAGGACCAGCAGCCGCAGAGCUGGGCAGGAAAUGCUAAUCUCCCAGAUGUUCCCCUCCAUCCUCCCUGCUCCACCACCAUCAACCCAAAAUCCUGCACCAACUGGUUGGAAUAGAACUGGGCCAAGGCAGCAAUAGUAGGGUAUGGUCAUUAUUCUUCCCUGCUUCAUAUUCCUUCCUACUCCAGUUGCCAGACUGUCUCUGUGGGGACCUGAGUUGGGACAAUGUAGGUAUGAGUAUUGGGGCUUGUUUCCCACCCCUGCCCCCACCCCAGGAAGGCAGGCAAGAGAGCUGAGACUUCAAGGAGGAUGGUCGGGGAGUAGAGAAGGUAGCAUCUGAAGAAGGAAGCCAGGCUCUUGGCCCUGUACCAAACUGGGAGGAGGACCAGUUGGCAAGUGAAGCCUUGGGGGAGGCUCCUCAAACUGACAGUGACUGAGAGUCCAUCUGGGACUGUGUCCAGAGAAUGGAGCCUGGGUGAUGCUGGGUCAUGCCACUGCUGCUGAUUCGUGUUUGCUAUCCCAGCACUACUGAACUGGACUGCUGGUAUAUCGUGGUGUAGCUGCAAGUGGAUUGAGCUGCUGCUGCUGCUGACCUGUGAACUGAACGGCUGAUUUCCUGACAAUGCAGAUUGGAUUUGCUCCAAAGAACAAUUUCUAAACAGGUCUAUUUCCCCUGUCUCCCAAUAACCUUUCUUUUCUACUACCUCUGGUGGGUGUUGGGUUAGAAGGAAGGUCAAAGCAUUUAAGAACAAUUAUUAAAAUUAGGGCUGGGAAAAAUGUAAGCAUAUACACAAUGCACUGUGGCAUAUAUGGUCAUGUGACACACAUAUACAUGUAAUAAUCAUGUGACACACAUAUACAUGUAAUAAGUGAAUAUGUUUUUUUUAAUUAAAACAGUCAACUUUAAGUUGUGUGCAUUUUACCCAUAA